rnacentral:lncRNA from 1 species
GCGCUGGCGUUGCCUGUGGGCUUGGGGCCCCUGCGCCGGGGCGGAGCGGGCAGCGAGGCUGGCGGGAGAUGCUGGGCUGCUCUGGAGAGCGCGCAACCGGGUUCAGUUCAUCGAAAACCCAGAGGUAGCCUACCGUGUGACUCAGCGGCACGGAAAACAUCAGAGUCAUUGACUUUGGCGUGGCAAAGUGGGAUCUCACACAUGGUACUUUAUCAAAUAAAGGGCACUGGCAUGUUAAACUGAUUCGUAGCAUCUUUUAAAUGUGACAA